UUCCAGAGGUUGGAUAUUUAUCCAGCUUCUGAGACUUCCUGUUAUAAAACAACACUUUGAUGAACAUCUUGGUACAUAAAUCUUUUGCAUGUGACUACUUCCUUAGGACAGAUUCCUAGAAGUGAAAUUCUGGGUCAAAGAGUAGUAAUAUUUUAAAGGCUGUUUAUGCAUACUGACAAGCUGCUUCCUGGCAAUUUGUCCAAACUUUUACUCUGACUAGCAUUGUAUGGGAGCUUCCCUGAGUGAAUGCUGCCUUUGAAGUGGGGUCAGAGACUGAGGACCAAGGGGCACAGAGAAAGAAGAGUGUGGUCCUCGAUGGGAGGACCCAUCACAAACCGUCUUGCACAGUGUAAACCCUGGAGAGGGGCUGAAGAAACCACUGCAGCCCGGGGCCGCCCAUUCUACCUGGCCCAUGGUAGGCACUCAAGAAAUGGUUUGCUACGUGAAUAAACAAAUCCACAAACAUAUAUUUCUGAAUUCCUAUCAUGCGUCAAACACAAGAGAUAGGGAGAGAGGAGGAAAAGAAAAGCAAGGGAUCAUGGGAUAAAAGGGGACAGUGGCAGUGGGGUGGACAGAAGUCAGAACUAAAUUUACCUCAUGCUUUAAUUCGGCGAGUUUUCUUAGAAUAGUCUGACCAUUGCUUACGUUGAGGGUCUAUAGUCCUCCCUUCCCCACAAGACAAAGUCCAACCUAAUUCAGCACCAAGAUCCAAGCAGCUUGGAAGAUACAGGAGGGAAAAUUCUGGUGUAGAUUAAGUGCCACCCCCCAGCAAUGGCCAGGACACAGCAGCAAUGUUACCUAAGAAAGCAACUGCGCCUCUUGCUGAUCAGCUAGACAUGAGGGCAGUGUCCUACCUCAGCGGUUUGCAGCGGACAUGCUGUCAGGCCAUUGGGAUAGUUCCCAUAAGCCACUCCUGGUUGUCACCACUAUUCCAAGUGGGCAGGAGCAGCCUUAUUGACUGAGAUGGGCGGCUAUGGACACACAUGGGUGUACGCAUGUGAUGGAAAUGGGGGCUUGGGGCCCUGAGGGUCCACAGGGGCUGCGUGGUCAGGGAGGGUGGGCAUGGCAUCACAGGCACCCCAGGGGAGAAGCUGGCUUUCUUCCCAUACUUUUGGCACUGUUUUCUGUUUUGUUUGCCUUCAAAGAGCAAGUGAUGGCUGGACAGCAAAGAGGAGUGGAGGCCGGGAGAAUGGGCAGCUAGCCCAGCGCUCUCCAAUAUCUGGGAGUCGACCGCACUCCUGCACUCCCUGUCAUCCCUGCUAAUGGUGAGGAACUGAGCAAAAGAGCCUCCAGAGUGACAGGUGACUUAAAGCGCACGUGGCUCUACAUUUACAAUUGAAGUGGGCUUUGGAGAUUGCAGAUUCUGAAUACCUGCUGGGGUGGUACAGAGGCUGUGUUCUGGUUUUGCCAUCUUGGACAGGGGGUUGGGAGUCUGGGGGGCUGCCUUCUCUCCUCUUCGUGCAGCUCUGCUGGGGCCUGUCUCACACUUGUGAGCAGAGUUAUGGCUGGAUUCCAGGGGAGACAGAGCUUGGUUGUGAAAUGUAAGGUUGUGAAAUGAAGGGCUUGUGAAAUGAACAAAGAAUGUAUUUAAGGGUCUUUCAUUUUAAAUCGAACACUUACAUAGCACUUACUACUUGCAAAGCUCCACUCUAAGCACUUUACCCAUCUUAAUUCAUUUAAUUCUCUUCUCAACCCUAAAAAGCAGGUAUUACCAUUGCUCCAAUCUUACAGAUGAGGAAACUCAGGCAUGGAGAGGUUGAGCGACUUGCCCAAAUUCAUGCAGUUAGGACCUGGCAGAGCUGCGCUUUGAACCCAGGCUGCCUGGCUCUAGAGUGUGUGCACGAAACUUCACUGCCAUAUGAACAAAACUGCAGGACAUAUGUUCUCAAAGCAAAUAAGCCUCCCAGAGAGGCUUUUCCUGAUGGCUUCAAGGACCUGCCCUAGCCUGGUCUGACUUCCCAGAGGGGAUCCAGUCCCAACAUUGGCCCUAUCUUUAGACCACAUUUCCAUCCCAUUCUCAGUGAAAACCCUGAGUCAUGACAGAAGACAACCAAUGCUGGAGAGAGGAGGUUUCAGGAUCUGAGGGGCACCCGCAGCAGUGCAGACGGACCGCUCCAUUCCGUCAGAGGCCACACUUAUUUCACCAGUUCCAUCCUGAUGUUUUCCAGACUUCUACAUAACAGAUGAUUCACCAGUGUGUCCCCCCAUGGAUGCCUCUGCUCACAUAGAAAGGGUUAAUUCUUGGAAGCUGAGGUGCUGUCAAAGGGCAUCUGACAGAUCAGCCGCCCUCUGCUCCAGGGGUGUGGUCUUCCUCUCCGACCCAUGAUGCGUGGCAGCCUGGCUGCCCACACCCUCAGAUCCCUGAGCAGCAGUGUCUCGCUGUGGUUUUAUCAGCAGUCUUUUUAAAUUAAUUUUUUUUUUUCUGUCACUUGCCUGGAUGGAAUCAGCAGUCUUUUUAUUAUGAGGGAGAUCAAGCACCUUUUCAUGUUAAAUCCCUCCUCCUUUUUUUAUCCUUUUCCUGUGAGCUACCUGUUUUUCUCUUUUAUCAGGCCUGGAUAUUUUGGGGCAAUGCUGGGCUGUCCUAGUACUCCCUGCCUGUUCCAGUUGAUCCAGGCUCCUUAAAGCUCCAACAGUGUGGAUUCUGUGAGCAUCAUGAAAGCCCAAGGGUGGUGGUCUCUCCAGGUGUCAGAGAGCCAAUGGUGAGUGAGAGAACCCCCCGGCCAGGGCAGCAGAGAAGCCUCAUGCCCACCAGUGCCAAUAGCCUGGCAUGGGAGCAGCCCUCUUUGUACAGGAAAAUGGGCCACAUUUGUCUUUAACAUUUGCUUCUUGUCCAAAGCAUUUUAGAGUGUGAUGGACAUGAAAUGAUGGAGACAGUGUGUAUCUACUUCCCUUGAAAGCUCCUCCAGCGAAUCCAGAGCCAGCAUCUUCCUGUAGCAUCUGCCCCUCCCUCCCUUUCAGGCCUGUGGUAACAUCUCCUCCUGCAGAACCUGGGCCCUGCUAUCCUGCUAUCAAAGGGUGGAGAGCCUGAUGGUCUGUGAAAUUCCCAGGGAAGGUUCAGGUAUCAGAAAUGCACUGAAGAACCACCUGAGCUCACUCUGUUAAUGGCGAUAUUUCACGUGAUUUAUCUGGAAGGGUUGGUAACUGAUAUGGUAACAAAUCUCAUCUUGAAUUCCCACAUGUUGUGGGAGGGAUCUGGUGGGAAGUAACUGAAUCAUGGGGGCAGGUCUUUUCUGUGCUGUUCUCUUGAUAGUGAAUAAGUCUAACGAGAUCUGAUGGUUUUAAAAAGAGGAGUUCCCCUGCACAAGCUCUCUCUCCCUGUCUGUCUGCUGCCAUCCAUGUAAGAUGUGGCUUGCUCCUCCUUGCCUUCUGCCAUGAUUGUGAGGCUUCCCCAGCCACUUGGAACUGUAAGUCCAAUUAAACCUCUUUCUUUUGUAAAUUCCCCAGUCUCGGGUAUGUCUUUAUCAGCAGCGUGAAAACGGACUAAUACAGAAACUUAGCCUGGAGGUCCUGAUUAACAGCUAACGCCUCCACCCUUACACAUAGCUUCUGUUUUGUAGUAAGUGCUCAAAUGACUGUUGAAAGAAGAAAUCACGAACAACUGUCUGACUGCCCUCUCUUUUGUCUAGAGGUAGUACAGUUCAAAUUGGUUCGGUGGUACUGUGUUUACAAAGUCCACUUUCUGACAGCUCCAACCAGCUUUCUUGCAAAUUUCAAAAGCCUCUUUCUUUGGGCCUGGGAACUAGGUUGGCCAAAUAAAAUACAGGAGACCCAGUUAAAUUUGAAUUUCAGGUGAACAACAAGUAAUAUUUUUGGUGUGUGUCACAAACAUUGCAUGGGACAUACUUACUGUUUUUGAUUCCUGUGGCUGCUGUAGGAAAUGACCAUAAACUUGGUGGCUUAAAACAACAGAUAUUCAUUCCCUCACACUUCUGAAGGCCAAAGUCCAAAAUCAGGAUCACUAGGUUGAAGCUAAGGUGUCAGCAGGGCCACACUCCCUCUGGAGCUCCAAGAGAGAAUUGGUUCCUGGACUUUUCUGGCUGCUGGUAGCUGCCAGCAGUCCUUGGCUUGUGGCCACCUCACUCCAAUCUCUGCCUCCAUCACCACAUUGUCUUCUCUUCUGUGUUUUCCAUCUCUCUCUUCCUUCCUCUUACAAGGAUGAGUGUGACUGCAUUUAGGACCUACCUAGAUAAUACAGGAUAAUCCCCCCAUCUCAAAAUCCUUAAUUUAACCACAUCUACAAAGACCCCUUUUCCAAAUAAGAUCACAUUUACAGGUUCUGGAGAUUAGGACCUGAUAUCUUUGAGGGACAUUAUGCAGCCUAUGCCAAUUAUUUGUUGUUAUCUGAAAUUCUAAUUUUCACAGAUGCCCUGUGUUUUAAUUUGCUAAUUCUGACAGCCCUACCUGGGACCACACCUUAUUAGGAGACAGCAAGGAUUUAAGUGAUUUUCCUUCAACUGGCACCACCCUUCCUUGUGUGGUGGGGAGAGGCCCAGUCCACAGACCCAGCCCUGUUCAUCAAGAUCUUUUAUCUUUGAAGUGGGGCUUAUAGUUUACAGUGGCAUUCCAGUUUUCAGGAGAAUCUAAGGCAUUUGGCUUAACUUUUGAACAGAUCAUGGCAAACAGUACAUGUAUUCCCACUUUUAGCAUUCAAAACUCCAAAUACAGACCUGUUCCCCUCCACCCUCCAGGAAGGUGGAAAGAUGAACAAAUAAAUAUAUAAGUUAUGUAUCUGUUCCCCUUUCUGUUCUCAAGUCUCUUUAAGAAAGCCUUUUUUUUUGUUGUUUGUUUGUUUUUUUGAGAGCAGGUCUCGUUCUGACGCCCAGGCUGCAGUGCAGUGGUGCCAUCAUGGCUCGCUGCAGCCUCAAUUUCCUGGGCUCAAGUGAUCCUCCUGCCUCAGCCUCCUGAGUAGCUGGGACUACAAGCGCACACCGCCAUGCCCAGCUAAUUUUUAAAAAAUUUUUUGUAGAGACAGGGUCUCCCUAUGUUGCCCAGGCUGGUCUCGGACUCCUGGCCUCAAGUGAUCCUCCCAUCUUGGCCUCCUAAAGUGCUGGGAUUCCAGGCGUGAGCCACUGCACCUGGCCCUGUUUUUGUCAUUUGAGACAGGUUCUCGCUAUAUCGCCCAGGCUAGUUUCAAACUCCUGGGCUCAAGAGAUCCUCCUGCCUCAGAUUCCCCAGCAGCUGGGACUACAGGCGCAGCCACUCACCAGUGUGGCCUUAGGGUUUUUGUAGUCAAUAUUGAACUCACCCACUCAUCCAUUUAUUCACUCGUGAAUCAAUUACUGAGUGCUUAUUCUGUGCCAUGCGCUAUGCCCGGCACAGAAGACACAAAGAUGAAUAAAGCAUCUCCCUGCGAUGGGCGAGUGAGGGAGGCUGGAUCCCUGGGGAAGCCCAAAGAGUGGAAUUAGACAACAUUGUGGAAAUUAAACACAAAUAACGGGCACUAGUGAUGUGAAGGCAGCAUGAUUCCAUUUGAUGUGAAACUAGAAGGAUAGAAACUCAUUUACCAAUUAUCUUUAAAUUCUAACAACUAUUUUUAGCCUUUAGAUGUGGAAAAAAUAACUUGUAUUACAGGAUGUGUUACCUAACUGUCUGCUUUAACAUGAUGGUGGUUUUCCUCCUUCUGUCUUCUAGAUCCCUGGAAAUGUGGGUGCAUAUGAGGCUCCCUCUGCCUCCUCCCACAGCCAUAUGAGCUGCCGCCUCCUAGGAGAACCUGGCAGGGCUGGCAGCACCCCCAGCUCCCCAGUUCAGCCCAGAAGGGGGCUGCCUGGACUCCAAGAUUUCUCCCUUCACCCGCGGCUGCCUCCUGCCCCCAUGACUACAGUGUGGUGAGCACUUUUUGGUACAAAUUAUGCCUCACUGCAAAUACAUCUUAGUUUUUUUUUUUUUUUUUUUUAAGGAAAAAGCCAUCUGUUGAUUUAUUUAUCAUAUGGCACAAAUUCUCAAGCUGAAAUUCCAGGUCUCUGCCCAUGAAAAACAAAACAAAAGCAAAAACACUUUUUUUUUGUCUUUGGGGGAGAAAAGCAGUGAGGCACUGGCAGUUUAAUAAAGGGUAGGACCCCUAGGCUAAAGCAGUGAAUGGGAAAGCUAGGGGGAAGACCAUGCCCCAGGGAGCAGAAGCCCAGGCAUAAGAAGCACAAAUCCUGGGUUCGAAUCCCCUACCGGCCUCAAAUUAGCCACGGGACUCCAGGUGCCACUUGACUUCCCUGAAUCCCUCUGAACCUCCCUGAAUCUCAACGUCCUAAUCUGUAGAAGAGGGGAAGGAAUUUUUCACUCACAGGCUCAUGUUAAGAAUCAAAUGAGAUCAUAUAAACUGUAAAGUACUAUCCACUUGUUAGUAAUUUGGGGAGUGGGGGGACCUCCCAGCACCCUGAAAUCACAUCGUGUGGGCUACCCAAGUGUGAGGACACCCCGUGCCUGUGUGUUUCCAGUGCCCCCAUAUCACUCUCCUGUCUCAAACACCUAGAGGUUGACAUCCAAAUAACAAUAUUAAAGUGACUCAGAUUUAUUAUUUUUUUGAAAUGGAGUCUCACUCACUCUGUCGCCCAGGCUGGAGUGCAGUGGCGCGAUCUCAGCUCACUGCAACCACUGCCUCCCAGGUUCAAGUGAUUCUCGUGCCUCAGCCUCCCAAAUAGCUGAGAUUACACGUAGUGCUCCACCAGGCAUGGCUUUUUUUUUUUUUUUUUUUUUUUUGAGACAGAGUCUUGCUCUGUCAACCAGGCUGGAGUGCAGUGGCACCAUCUCAGCUCACUGCAACCACCUCCUGGAUUCAAGCGAUUCUCUCCUGUCUCAGCCUCCCUAGUAGCCAGGAUUAUAGGCACAUGCCAUCAUGCUUGGCUAAUUUUUAUGUUUUUAGUAGACACGGGGUUUCACCCUGUUGGCCAGGCUGGUCUCAAACUCCUGACCUCAGGUGACCACCUGCCUCAGCCUCCCAAACUGUUGGGAUUACAGGCAUGAGCCACCACACCCAGCCUAAUUAUUUGUAUUUUUAGUAGAGACAGGGUUUUGCUAUGUUGCCCAGGCUGGUCUUGAACUUCUGGCUUCAAAUGAUCUGCCCACCUCAGCCUCCCAAAGUGCUGGGAUUAUAGGAGUGAGCCAUCACGCCCAGCUGACUUCGAUUUGUUAUUGGGACUGACCUUCUAAUUAGUCCAGAUUGGAUCAAUAUUUGUGUAUCCAGAAAGCCAGGUAGUCCCAAGUGUUCUCUGCACAUUGUGGGCCCAGUAGGAGGCAGGGCUUAUCCCACUGGAAGGUGGCAGUCUUAGGAGCCUUAGUAGUGGAGUCCCCGUGACAUGGGGUCCAGGUGUCGAUCUCUCUGUUGCCAUUGGGCAGCCCAGGGCACACUGGUUGCAUCUGUCCCCCGGGCACAGGGUGUUCGUGGUCUAAGGCUAUGACCAGUGUGCCCUGGGCUGCCCAAUGGCGACAGAGAGAUGCCCUCUGCCCAGCUCCUAAUUUUGCACUCAGGGCUGUGUGCCAAGGUGCCCGCACUCUGCAGCUCCCGCUGGGAUCCAUGGGGGCCUAUGCAGGCCAUGCUCGGGGCCAGGACUGAUGAUACUGUCUCCAGGUGGCUCCACCCUUCAGUUUUGGAUGCUUCUAAAACUUUUCUUGAAGAAUGACUCAGUACUCACCCUUAAUACAAUUUAUAGGCUGAAAUGAUCCCUCUGCCUGCUCCACCUGCUCCAAACCCUGAUAAAACAGAAACUAGGGUGGGAUAUCACAUAUGGUAUCUUCACUUUGUAGCUGGUGGAUUUUCUUAAAUGUGGAGGAGAACGUGGGAGGCAAGACCAGAACUGAGAAAUGACUCUUGCUUUUAGUUAGAGGGAGGGUGGCUGUGGGAAGUGUAUUUCAACGCCAUGAAAGUACCCUGUGAGGUUGCAAAUUCUAAGUAAUUCGAUAUGCAUAACCCCAGCCUCAGCUGUGUGAGCUCCUCCCUUCUCUGUUCCCCAUCACUCCCCCUUUUCCUGGUCCCAGAGUGUGAACCACAUUGGUGUAGACAUGGGGAAAGUAAAGUGGAUUUUUGAGGAAGGGGGAUCAGGUAGUGUAGCCCAACAGACUAGAAAAUACAGACUCAGUCUCCUCACCUCCCCUCUCACUGUGACCCUUUUUCUUAACAGUAGAGGGCUGACUUUGUCUGCCUUGCUCAGGGAAACCGCCCCACUUUUAAUUAAAUUUCUCCCUGUAGAUGCUGUCUGGGAAGCUGAAUGUCAUCUUCCCUGGGCUUACCUGCCAGGCUCCUCUCAUCCACAUCUUCCAGCCUCUAGCCACAUGGACCCCUCCGGAAAGCAUGUGUGUGUGGGGGGUAUGUGUGAACAUUUUUCAUGCUUGAUGUGAGCCGGAAGAAAAAUGAGCUUCUCUAUUUGAUAAGUGUGGACCUGCCCACAGCACUAAAUUUGGUUCUGCCGUCACCGGCGCCAUGAAGCAGCAGCCUGGUUUAGAGGCUUGCCUUUGGUUUCAAAUAAUUUCUCCAGGCUCAUGUUACAUAUGACCCAUUCACAGAGGCUGGAGGGCAUGGCUUCUCCAGUCCUUAGCACUAAAGACGUGUCUUUUGGCUCCUGCACGACUAGCACAGGCAGUAGAACCAGAUGGGGGAUGCUCUGAGGUUGCAGAGGCAGGAAGGCAAGCGGGAGAGAGCUUGGGCCUGGACAGAGGGAUGAGCUGGCUCCCUCCCCAGCUGUGAAAUCUCUGAGUCUCAGUUUGCUUCUCUGCAAAAUGAGGAUAAUAAUCCCCACCUCGGGACUGAGGAUUAACGAGGCAAUGGUUUUAGCAGAAUAAUCCACUGCUGCUAUUAUUAUCAGCAUCUUCGUAUAGCAAAACUCAUUUGGACCAAUGGGGAGUGCGUUAAGUUGGUCUGAAGUAGGGCAAAGGAACGAUUAUAGAAUGUUUCAAAGGAAAUGUGUUUUUUAUUAUUUCCAUGUAUAUAGAGUACUGGAACUGAGUGCUAGGAGGUGGAGAACUGACUUGAUUUAAAUAAGGAGAGCUCAUUUGACAUUGGCCUGUUUGAUUUCUCAACAUCCAACUGUGUUAAUAAAGAGGGUUUUGAGCUAUCUAUGUGCCCAGCUCUGUGACUGGAGAAGGAAAGUCACAUAAGACACAGUCCUUGCCCUCACAGGACGUGCAACCUGUGGGCAGAUGAGUCCUACACAGGAAGCGGGGGCAAGAAGGAAACUGUGAGGCACUGGGGAGCACGGCGCUGCCACAGGUGAGAGGAAACGCGUAGCCUCUGGACCUUGAGUGCCAAGGCUGGGGAAAGCUUCGGGGAAGAUGGACACUGAGGAAGGUCAGGUCAAUUUAAAUAGGGGGUGGGGCAGGGAGAGAGGGGCAAGGCUGCCAUGGGUGAGCAAGGGGCAGAAAGAGCACGGCAUCUAUGAAGGAGCCACAGGGCAGGCUGGCAGGAGGCGGGACUGGGCAGGGAGGUGAGCCAAGGUGUGGGGACCCGGGCAGGCAGCUCGAGGCCAGCUUGGCUUAGCAGGCGAUGCCCAUGGCAGGACCACACUUGGAGAGGGCCAGGGCAGGUGACGGGGUUGCUCUGGGAGGAAUUUGGCAAUGGCAUGCAAAACGGAUUGGAUAUGAAUUUUGGAAUUGAAACAGGGAACAACUCAUUAUUGUUUCCAUAAGGAUCCGAGGGUGAGAUGAUAAGGUCUAAAAUCAUUUUAUCGCUGGUGAGAGUGUGACUGGAAACAGAGGGGCAAACUGAGGCAAUGCCUGGAAGAAACUGGCGGGUCUGUUCCAGGAUGUGGAGGGAGAAGAGCUUAAGGCUCCAUGGCUUGCCACAUUCGGGACUGGAAGAUGGCAAAUUCCAGUGACCGAAGUGCACAGACCAGGUGGUAAUGGGGGCAGCAUUUUACUAAAACGCAAGGCUAUGGGGCCACUGGACACCCAGGACUGGCACUCAAACCUGGCCACGCUGGAGAAGAGAUGGGCCAUUGUCAGGGUGGGGGUUAUGCAUACACCCUGAAAUACCUCCCACCAUCCACGCUCCGGAGAAACCCUCCAUUUACAGGGUGAAGGCAAACUGACUUUAGCCCCGCUCUGGCUCAAUUCAAAUGCCAGGUGCAAGCAGUUCAAUUAACGCGCCUGCCCCGUGCCUUUGACACCAAACAGAUGUCAGAAUAUUACACCAUCCAAGUCAAUGCCUGGCUUUAAUUUAAUCACUCAUGCCUUAAUCGAUUCCUGUCACAUGCUAAACACUGUGAGUGGUGGGGAGAGGCUGCUCCUAGGCAUAAUUAGAAUAUGAGAUUCUGUACCAAGUCCCUGUCUGGUUAGGAAAAAACUGAAAACUCCAGAAAAAACAGAAAAGCUCCCAGGAAAUUCCAUCCAAGGGUCGUGACUUGAGCCCAGAAGGAAGUCCCAGCCCUUCCCCAGAGAAGUCAGCACUGGCAGGGGCUGGAAAUCACUUGAGGUCAUGCUCAAGGCACCCCCACCCACUGUCUUGCACCCUGGUUUGGGGCUCCUUCCUUCCAAAGAAGGGGACAGACAAGAUCAGUGCAGGCUGGGCUGUGGCCACCCAUGCAUCCCUCCUGGGCACGGACCCUGCUGGCUCAGCCCUCACCCCUAGGAACCAGCUGCACCGUCUGACUGACGCUAAGGGAGCCAGGUGGCAGCAGCUAUACUAUUUCAGGUCAGGCUAAAGUCAGCCCACCAAAGACUUCAGAUCAGCACCUGACUGCGGCUCCUGGGAGGCAUCCCCCAGCCCUGCAGCACUUCUGAGAAGCUCAAAGGAAUUCUCUUAAGUUGUUUUAUUUCAGUUCUAUGACUAUGCGAACAGAAGAGAGACCACAUUAUCAUCCAUUCUGAGGGGGAAGACAGUAUAAUCUCCAUUUCUCAGAUGGAAAUAUGGAGGCAUGGGAAAUCUUAAUCUUGGCCAAAAAUCUCUUAGUUGACAAAUGAAUUCAGGGCUUGGCAACCCUAAGCAGCCAGUGAUAACAGGGGCCCACAAAUGAGGGAGUAGCUUGCUUCUGGAAUUCAGUCUUACUGGUAACAAACGAUAAGAUCUUUUUAAAAGUCUUUUUAUUUUUAUUUUUUUUAACUUGGCCCAGAUUGUCAACUUAUGAAUCCUACUGAUUAAAAAUUUUUUCUUGCAUUUCUCAUCAGCCAUCGAACAUUGGUUCAUGAUUAUUUAUAGCACUUAAUGACAUUGAAAGGGAUUUAUUUCAAUUUAUUCAGUCUUUAUUAACACUCCACAGGGAACAGAGUGCAGCCGCCACUGGCCUUUUCUCAGGCACAGUUGAGAUGCUAAGAAGGGAGGAACUUCACCACUAAAGGAAGAACUGAACCCGGUGGAGAGAAGCCCAGGAGGCAAGUUAUCCCUAUAGGAUUAUCCAGGAAAAAUAUUAAAUAGGUUUUAAUAAGGUUCAGGUGAGUUUAUGAAUGAUCACUUCAUUAUUCAAGCGGAUUUAGGGAUGUUCUGCAAAAUCCUCCGUUUCUAAGCUGGCCUCAUGGGGACCAGCAGCAGAGGCAGAGGCUGAGCCGCUGCACUGGGGAUUGGGGCCAGCGUGGAAUUUCCCCUGCUCAUAGGGAAAAGACAAGACAGAAAACGGAUGGUGGGAGGGCUGAUGACUCUUCCAAAUGGCUAUUCCUGAUGUUUCCUGGCAAUGAGCAGCUAUGAAAGGGACAGGUUCACAUGCGACUACACCAUGACUUUUGCUGUGCCCCAGUGUAACAGGAGGUUAUAGACAACAGUUUUAUUUGCAUAUAUAACCUUUGCUUGGCUUAUUAACAUAUUGCUGAUUUAAAUUCUGAUACAUUGUCAAAGUAGAAAGCUGUUCGGGUUUUUGGCAAGCCCAGUAUAAAAAAUGCAGGCAUGCAACAAAUAGGUAGUGAAUAUUCACAUUUAAAUACAUGUAAAUAUAAAUAGAAUUAAAAAAAAAAAGUUUAGAGACAGGGCCUUGCUGUGUUACCCAGGCUGGAGUGCUAUGGGACAAUCAUAGCUCACUGUAGCCUUGAACUCCUGGGCUCAAGCGAUCCUCCUGCUUCGGCCUCCCAAGUAGCUAGGGCUACAGACACAUGCCAUCAUGCCCAGCUAAUUUUUACAGUUUCCUUUUGUAGAGACAGGAUCUUGUUUUGUUGCCCAGGCUAGUCUCAGACUCCUGGCUUCAAGUGAUCCUCCCACAGUGCUGGGAUUACAAGUGUGAGCCACCGAGCCUGGCCU
rnacentral:lncRNA from 1 species